CCUAAUGUAUGCAAGUCGAACGGCCCGCAAGGGUAGUGGCGAACGGUUGAGUAACACGUAGACAACCUGCCUCCAGGUGGGGGAUAACAGCUCGAAAGGGCUGCUAAUACCGCAUAUGGCGCCCCGUGGCAUCACGGGAGGGCUAAAGGAGCAAUUCGCCUGGAGAUGGGUCUGCGGCCUAUCAGCUAGUUGGUGGGGUAACGGCCUACCAAGGCGACGACGGGUAGCUGGUCUGAGAGGAUGAUCAGCCAGACGGGGACUGAGACACGGCCCCGACUCCUUCGGGAGGCAGCAAUGAGGGAUAUUGCACAAUGGGGGAAACCCUGAUGCAGCGACGCCGCGUGGGUGAGGAAGUCCUUCGGGAUGUAAAGCCCUUUUGUGGGGGACGAUACCAGACGGUACCCCACGAAUAAGCCCCGGCUAACUACGUGCCAGCAGCCCGCGGUAAUACGUAGGGGGCAAGCGUUGUCCGGAUUUACUGGGCGUAAAGAGCGCGUAGGCGGAACGUUAAGUCCGGUUUGAAAGCCCCCGGCUCAACCGGGGAGAGUGGCUGGAAACUGGCGUUCUUGAGGGCGGCAGAAGAAAAGUGGAAUUCCUGGUGUAGCGGUGAAAUGCGUAGAUAUCAGGAGGAACACCCGUGGCGAAGGCGG
rnacentral:rRNA from 1 species